GUGACCUCAAAUCAGGUAGGACUACCCGCUGAACUUAAGCAUAUCAGUAAGCGGAGGAAAAGAAACUAACAAGGAUUCCCCUAGUAACUGCGAGUGAAGCGGGAAAAGCUCAA
rnacentral:rRNA from 1 species